GAGCAGUUGAUGCCAGAUCAUCAUCUUCCACACUAACUAACCAUCAUGUCCCUGUCAGCUCUGCUGCUGUUGCUGGCUGCUACUUCCAGUGUCCAUUCAGAGACGCUCACUCAGCCAGCUUCAGUGACUCUCCAGCCAGGACAAACACUGACCAUCAGCUGUCAAGUCUCCUAUUCAGUUACUAGCUAUCACACAGCUUGGGUUCGACAGCCAUCAGAGAAAGGCCUGGAGUGGAUCAAUGUUAUCUGGGGUGGUGGUAGCACAGCACACAAAGACUCACUGAAGAGCAAGUUCAGUGUCUCCAGAGACACCUCCAGUAACACCAUCACCCUGCAAGGACAAAACAUGCAGCCUGAAGACACAGCUGUCUAUUACUGCGCUCGCUACUCACAGUGA